rnacentral:piRNA from 1 species
AUUCUGCUGCAGACUCAACAAAAAUUGGCC